UUAAUAGUUGAUUCUGAAAUGAUUAGAAUAAUAUUAAAGUUAAGAUUACAUGUAAAUUUUUGUGGGAUAUUUUAUAGUAAUAUUUUAAAAAUUUAUAUAAUUUUACUAAUUAGUGAUUAAACAGUUGCAGUUAUUAAUUUUUAUUAUUAAUGUAAAUUAGAUUAAUUUUAUUUUUAUUUGACUGACUAAUAUUGUGCCAGCAGUUGCGGUUAUACAUUUAAGUCAUAAUUAUUUAUUUUUAUAUUGUAACAUCAUAUAAUGAUUCUAGAUGAUUAAAUAAUCCCAUAUAUAUAUGUGAAAUAUAAAAUAUGGUUAAAUUAUUUAAUCUAGGUUAUGUAGUAUUAGUUAUAAAUUUUAUAAUAUAAACUAGGAUUAGAUACCCUACUAUUGUUUAAUUAAAAUUUUAUGUUAUUAAGAGAAUUGAUCUUUAAAUCAAAAGAAUUUGACGGUAAUUUAUCAUUUUAGAGGAACCUGUUAUGUAAUCGAUAGUCCACGAUAAAUUUUACUUUUAAUUGUCGAGCUUGUAUAUCUCUGUAUAUUAUGAAUGUUUUGGAAAAAUUUAUUUUUUAUUAUAUUUAUAUAUUAUAUGUCAGGUCAAGGUGCAGUGAUUUUAAAAGAAAUAAAUUAAUGAAUGGGUUACAUUAAUUUUUUUUAUCCUUAAUUAUCUGGAUAAUUUAUAUUUAUAUUGGGUAUGAAUUUGGAUUUAAUAGUAAUUUAUAAAAUAUAUUAUAUGUGACAUAUGAUCUAGAUUAAGUACAUAUCGCCCGUCAAUCCCACAUAUUAGGAAUGAGGGAUAAGUCGUAACAAAGUAGAAUUACUGGAAAGUGAUUCUGGAUUAAAGAAUUGAAUUAAU
rnacentral:ncRNA from 1 species